UACGUAGGGGGCUAGCGUUGUCCGGAAUCAUUGGGCGUAAAGAGCGUGUAGGCGGCCCGGUAAGUCCGCUGUGAAAGUCGGGGGCUCAACCCUCGAAUGCCGGUGGAUACUGUCGGGCUAGAGUGCGGAAGAGGCGAGUGGAAUUCCUGGUGUAGCGGUGAAAUGCGCAGAUAUCAAGAGGAACACCGAUUGCGAAGGCAGCUCGCUGGGACGUAACUGACGCUGAGACGCGAAAGCGUGGGGAGCAAACAGG
rnacentral:rRNA from 1 species